UCUUAACAUAAUUUAUUUAAACAAAAGAGCACAGGGAUGAAAUGAAGGCAUACAUACAUACAUAUGACAUGCUUGUCUAACAACCAAAAGCCAGUCACAUCGAUUAGGACUUGCUUUGUUAAUUCACCUUGAAAAUUGAAAAUUGACAUCUUUUCAUUAAUUCUUUAAACUAACAACUCUCGUAUCCACAAGAAUAUAUGAAUAUGGCACUGUGAGAACCAAUGAUCCAGAGACA
rnacentral:lncRNA from 1 species